UACGUAGGGCGCAAGCGUUGUCCGGAAUUAUUGGGCGUAAAGAGCUCGUAGGCGGUCUGUCGCGUCGGCUGUGAAAUCCCGAGGCUCAACCUCGGGUCUGCAGUCGAUACGGGCAAACUGGAGUGUUGCAGGGGAGACUGGAAUUCCUGGUGUAGCGGUGAAAUGCGCAGAUAUCAGGAGGAACACCGGUGGCGAAGGCGGGUCUCUGGGCCACUACUGACGCUGAGAAGCGAAAGCGUGGGGAGCGAACAGG
rnacentral:rRNA from 1 species